CUUAUUGAUAAAAACCAUUUUAAUUUGGAUGGAGUGUUACCCAGGCUGGAGUGCCAUGGUGUGAUCUUGGCUCCCUGCAACCUCUGCCUCCUGAGUUCAAGUGAUUCUAGCGCCUCAGCCUCCCAAGUAGCUAGGAUUACAGGCACCCGCCACCAGACCCAGCUAAUUUUUGUAGUUUUUAGUAGAGCCAAUGGGGUUUCACCACGUUGGCCAGGCUGGUCUCAAACUCCUGACCUCAAAUGAUCUGCCCCCUUAGGCCUACCAAAGUGCUAGAAUUACAGCCAUGAAGCUCUGCACCCAGCCAAUACUAGCAUUUUGAUAAGAAAACUUAUAAUUUAUUUAGGAAUUCAAAGCAUAUAUAAGAACAGAAUAAUCUUGAAGGUCGAAAGAACAACUUUGAAGAACUUUAUCUUAUUUUCAAUUCAAUAUAAUGCCAUAGUAACGAAGACACAGUUACUAUUGGUAGUAUUGGUGCAAUAUUACAUAAAUGGAUCACUGGAAUUGAAUAAAGAGUCCAGAAAUAAAGCUUCAUAUUUAUAUCUAAU
rnacentral:lncRNA from 1 species